CCACCGAUCUCGCAUGCUUUCAGUCCCUCUGCCUCCCUUCUGCUGCUUACCAGCACACCGGCGUGCACAGAUCUGAAACUAUAGAAAAGCUGCCUGACUAGCAGGUUAAAAGGCCCGAGAAUCCAAACCCUGUUUAUUUUCUUUCCUCAAUUUCCUGCUGCUACAAUAAGGAAGAAUGAUGAUGAUUUGCCGAUAUGAAACAGCCUAAAGAGAAGGCUAUGAAUAGUAGAAGCUGGAGGGGCAGCCCUACUACAACCCACACAUUAAAUGACAUUUGGAAGAAGAUCUGUAGACUGCAUUGGAACAGACUACACUGCAUCAGUCCACUCAUUCAUCUAGUGCAGCAGCAAUUCCCCAGGGUUCAAAACCUACCUGCAAAUGAUGAGGAUUGAACCUGGGACCGGUUGCAUGCCAAAUACACUGACGGGUAGAAAAAUAUACCCAGGGACCUGACAAGAGAGUAGGAUUGAAAUGUGAGCCAUACCCUUCUCUCACAGCUUCAGCAUGCAAAAAUAAACAGUGGAAUGUAUGCAUUCAUUACAGAUUCAUGUCAAGCCUCCCCCAUUCUCUUUUUUUCUACUCUGUGCUUCAAAAACCAACACGAUUUGUCAGCAAGGCAGCCAAAGGCUCAUCUCCACAUGUUGAUACCAUCAACAAUGCAAGUAAGCCAUGUUCCAAUAACCAUUGAACUCAAUGGGGCUCAUUUCUGAGUAAAUAUAUAUGACUGCACUGUAGAUUUCUUGGUAGAAACUGUUGGGUGAAAUUCUUGAGCACAGAGCUCUUUUCAGCUGUCCCAUCAAAGUUUUGGAUUUGAUGUAGAAUCUACAGCUGACCUCUGGGGCAGUUGAAAGAGCCUCAAGGGACUCUUGCAGGUGCAAGGAUGCUAUAGGGGAGGGAUAAGAUGCAGGGAGACUGAGUCGUUUAUCUUGUUUUCAAAGCUAGAUUCCUUCAUAUAACUUGGACUAGGAAAAAAAGAUGGCAUCUCUUCAGAUAUCCUACUUAGACACCGUUCUUUACAGUAAUGCUAAAUUGAAUCUUUUUCUGUAUUUCUGUUAAGUACUGGCAUAUUUAUUUAUAAGAACUUUCAUGUUAUUGUUGCUUAUUACUUACAUGUAGUUUAAAAGAAGAAACUCAAACAAGUACAACCUUCUAGUGACAUCUAUUUACAAGCAUGGAGUUAAUGGCUUGGUUAUGGUCAUUUCACACUCUUCUGCUGUCACAAAGAAAGCUUAAUUGAGUUUUGGGGAAAUGGCAAUAAAUUCCCCUGCUGCAAAGCAGGCAGUUUCACUUGGAAAUGCUGUAGCAAGGUUUGGAAGAAAUCUGCCAGAGUCCUCCCUCAUAACUAGAAGAAAAUGGUUUGACUACAGUAUUAGAAAAAUGGCACAUGGUAGAAGAUGCAAUGUUUGAGAGGGCCAAAAAGUAAAACAUCAUAUAUAAGUGUUCUUCAACAUAAGUUAAUUGUAAUAGACAGAACUUCACAAAUACAUGCAGGAUAAUUGUUCAGCCUGUUAACAAAAAGUGAGGUAAUUAAAAAGGACUCCAUACUUUGAUGAAAAAGUUCAGAACAAAGUGAUCUUUCUGAUUUAUUUUUUGUCUGUGUGUAACUUUAUGCCUACUCUCCAUUUGUACCUUUUCUAUUAACUGUGCCAAAUUAACACUAUCACAAAUAUGAGGCAUUGUUCCAAAUUAGCACAAUUAUGGGAAAGAAAUAUAUUGGUAUGUUUAGGAAUCUGUAUUUCAUAGAGAUUUCACACUUCAUUUCCACCCUUUAUCUAU
ensembl:lncRNA